rnacentral:rRNA from 1 species
UGGUGGUGAGCAUGGCUCACCAAGGCUACGAUGGGUAGGGGUUCUUAGUGGAAGAUCCCCCACACUGGCACUGAGAUACGGGCCAGACUCCUACGGGAGGCAGCAGUAGGGAAUAUUGGUCAAUGGGCGAAAGCCUGAACCAGCCAUGCCGCGUGCAGGAUGACAGCUCUCUGAGUUGUAAACUGCUUUUGUACAGGAGCAAAACAAUCCCUGCGGGGGUUCUUGAGAGUACUGUAAGAAUAAGCACCGGCUAAUUCCGUGCCAGCAGCCGCGGUAAUACGGAAGGUGCAAGCGUUAUCCGGUUUUAUUGGGUUUAAAGGGUGCGUAGGCGGCUUAUUAAGUCAGUUGUGAAAUCCUAGUGCUUAACGCUAGAACUGCAAUUGAUACUAUUAGGCUUGAGUUAAGAAGAGGUAAA